GAUGAACGCUGGCGGCGUGCCUAAUACAUGCAAGUCGAGCGAACAGACGAGGAGCUUGCUCCUCUGACGUUAGCGGCGGACGGGUGAGUAACACGUGGAUAACCUACCUAUAAGACUGGGAUAACUUCGGGAAACCGGAGCUAAUACCGGAUAAUAUAUUGAACCGCAUGGUUCAAUAGUGAAAGACGGUUUUGCUGUCACUUAUAGAUGGAUCCGCGCCGCAUUAGCUAGUUGGUAAGGUAACGGCUUACCAAGGCAACGAUGCGUAGCCGACCUGAGAGCGUGGUGACGCAAACGGGAACGGAGAUACGGACAAGACGACUACGCGGGCGAGCAAUAGGGGUUCGUGUGUAAUGGGCGAAAGCAUGAAGAAGCAAUGUCGCGAGAGUAAAGAAGGUGCUAGGAUCGUAAAACUCUGUUAUGAGGGAAGAACAAGUGAGUAAGCAACUAUGCACGUCUUGACGGUAGCUGAUCAGAAAGCCACGGCUAACUACGUG
rnacentral:rRNA from 1 species